rnacentral:rRNA from 1 species
UACGAAGGGGGCUAGCGUUGUUCGGAAUCACUGGGCGUAAAGCGCACGCAGGCGGAUUGAUAAGUCAGGGGUGAAAUCCCGGAGCUCAACUUCGGAAUUGCCUUUGAUACUGUCUAUCUUGAGUCCGGGAGAGGUGAGUGGAAUUCCUAGUGUAGAGGUGAAAUUCGUAGAUAUUAGGAAGAACACCAGUGGCGAAGGCGGCUCACUGGCCCGGUACUGACGCUCAUGCACGAAAGCGUGGGGAGCAAACAGG